GCUGGUGCGGAGGGAGUGGUCUCCCUAAUAGGCUCAUGAUCUAUCGACUUUGUCUGGGUUCGAUUCCCACACUAGCC